GAUGAACGCUGGCGGCGUGCCUAAUACAUGCAAGUCGAGCGAACGGGCGAGAAGCUUGCUUCUCUGAUGUUAGCGGCGGACGGGUGAGUAACACGUGGAUAACCUACCUAUAAGACUGGGAUAACUUCGGGAAACCGGAGCUAAUACCGGAUAAUAUUUUGAACCGCAUGGUUCAAAAGUGAAAGACGGUCUUGCUGUCACUUAUAGAUGGAUCCGCGCUGCAUUAGCCAGUUGGUAAGGUAACGGCUUACCAAGGCAACGAUGCAUAGCCGACCUGAGAGGGUGAUCGGCCACACUGGAACUGAGACACGGUCCAGACUCCUACGGGAGGCAGCAGUAGGGAAUCUUCCGCAAUGGGCGAAAGCCUGACGGAGCAACGCCGCGUGAGUGAUGAAGGUCUUCGGAUCGUAAAACUCUGUUAUUAGGGAAGAACAUAUGUGUAAGUAACUGUGCACAUCUUGACGGUACCUAAUCAGAAAGCCACGGCUAACUACGUG
rnacentral:rRNA from 1 species